AUACUGAGUGGCAAACGGGUGAGUAUAAUGUGGGAAUCUGCCUUUUGGUCUGGAAUAACACGGGGAAACCUGUGCUAAUACCGGAUAAGCCUUCACAGGGAAAGUUUUAAUGCCAAAAGAUGAGCCCGCACUUGAUUAGCUUGUUGGUGAGAUAAAAGCUCACCAAGGCUACGAUGUUUAGCCGGCCUGAGAGGGUGAUCGGCCACACUGGAACUGAGACACGGUCCAGACUCCUACGGGAGGCAGCAGUGGGGAAUAUUGCGCAAUGGGCGAAAGCCUGACGCAGCAACGCCGUGUGAGCGAUGAAGGCCUUUGGGUCGUAAAGCUCUGUCAAAUGGGAAGAACAUUGACGGUACCAUUAGAGGAAGCCCCGGCUAACUCCGUGCCAGCAGCCGCGGUAAUACGGAGGGGGCAAGCGUUGUUCGGAAUUAUUGGGCGUAAAGAGUAUGUAGGCGGCUAAAUAAGUCAGGCGUGCAAGCCCGUGGCUCAACCACGGAAUUGCGUUUGAAACUGUAUAGCUUGAGUACAGGAGAGGAAAGCGGAAUUCCCAGUGUAGCGGUGAAAUGCAUUGAUAUUGGGAAGAACAUCUGUGGCGA
rnacentral:rRNA from 1 species